UACGUAGGGUGCGAGCGUUGUCCGGAAUUACUGGGCGUAAAGAGCUCGUAGGUGGUUUGUCGCGUUGUCCGUGAAAACUCACAACUCAAUUGUGGGCGUGCGGGCGAUACGGGCAGACUGGAGUACUGCAGGGGAGACUGGAAUUCCUGGUGUAGCGGUGGAAUGCGCAGAUAUCAGGAGGAACACCGGUGGCGAAGGCGGGAUCCUGGGCCAGUACUGACGCUGAGGAGCGAAAGCGUGGGGAGCAAACAGG
rnacentral:rRNA from 1 species